GACGAACGCUGGCGGCGUGCUUAACACAUGCAAGUCGAACGCUGAAGCCCUGGCUUUUGUUGGGUUGGAUGAGUGGCGAACGGGUGAGUAACACGUGAGUAACCUGCCCUCUUCUUUGGGAUAACGCCCGGAAACGGGUGCUAAUACUGGAUAUUCACUGAUCUUCGCAUGGGGGUUGGUGGAAAGGUUUGUUCUGGUGGGGGAUGGGCUCGCGGCCUAUCAGCUUGUUGGUGGGGUGAUGGCCUACCAAGGCUUUGACGGGUAGCCGGCCUGAGAGGGUGACCGGUCACAUUGGGACUGAGAUACGGCCCAGACUCCUACGGGAGGCAGCAGUGGGGAAUAUUGCACAAUGGGCGAAAGCCUGAUGCAGCGACGCCGCGUGAGGGAUGGAGGCCUUCGGGUUGUAAACCUCUUUCGCUCAUGGUCAAGCCGCAACUGUGGGUUGUGGUGAGGGUAGUGGGUAAAGAAGCGCCGACUAACUACGUG
rnacentral:rRNA from 1 species